rnacentral:rRNA from 1 species
GGCGUUGGAGCAGUGUACGUCAGACUUCCAAGAAAAGCUCGCAAUGUCAUAAAUAAGAAAUGCCUGUACCAUAACCGACACAGGUGGGUAGGUAGAGUAUACUAAGGGGCGCGAGAUAACUCUCUCUAAGGAACUCGGCAAAAUGACUCCGUAACUUCGGGAGAAGGAGUGCCUUAUUUAUAAGGUUGCAAUAACAAGAUCCAAGCAACUGUUUAUCAAAAACACAGGUCUCCGCUAAGUCGUAAGACGAUGUAUGGGGGCUGACGCCUGCCCAGUGCCAGAAGGUUAAAGAAGUUGGUUAGUGUAUGCGAAGCUGAUGACUGAAGCCCUGGUGAACGGCGGCCGUAACUAUAACGGUCCUAAGGUAGCGAAAUUCCUUGUCGGGUAAGUUCCGACCCGCACGAAAGGCGUAAUGAUUUGGAUACUGUCUCGGAGAGAGGCUCGGUGAAAUAGACUUGUCUGUGAAGAUGCGGACUACCUGCACCAGGACAGAAAGACCCUAUGAAGCUUUACUGUAACUUGAAAUUGGAAUUGGACUUUGCUUGCGCAGUAUAGGUGGGAAGCGUUGAAGAUAUUCUUGCGGGAGUAUUGGAGCUAUCAGUGAGAUACCACUCUUGUAAUGUUAGAUUUCUAACUUUGAACCAUAAUCUGGUCAAAGAACAGUUUCAGGUGGGCAGUUUGACUGGGGCGGUCGCCUCCCAAAUGGUAACGGAGGCGUACAAAGGUUUCCUCUGAACGGAUAGAAAUCGUAUCUAGAGUGUAAAGGCAUAAGGAAGCUUGACUGUGAGACCUACAAGUCGAGCAGGGACGAAAGUCGGUCUUAGUGAUCUGACGGUACUGAGUGGAAAGGCCGUCACUCAACGGAUAAAAGUUACUCUAGGAUAACAGGCUGAUCUCCCCCAAGAGUUCACAUCGACGGGGAGGUUUGGCACCUCGAUGUCGGCUCAUCGCAUCCUGGGGCGGUAGUACGUCCCAAGGGUUGGGCUGUUCGCCCAUGAAAGCGGUACGCGAGCUGGGUUCAGAACGUCGUGAGACAGUUCGGUCCAUAUCCGGUGUAGGCGUUAGAAUAUUGAGAGGAGCCUUCUUUAGUACGAGAGGACCGAGAAGGACACACCGCUGGUGUACCAGUUAUCGUGCCAACGGUAAACGCUGGGUAGCUAUGUGUGGAGUGGAUAACCGCUGAAAGCAUCUAAGUGGGAAGCCCACCUCAAGAUGAGUAUUCUC